UCGACUAGAGGAGGCACCUAACUCAUGUUGGGCAUGCUCACUCAUAUGAAUAUGUAGUUGAAUAACAGAAUCUAUGGUUUCCAUCUUCAGGUAUCAUGAAAACUCAUUCGAGCUAUCACUCUGCAUGACAUACUCUCAUUCUCUCUUUGCCCUAAUAGUUUGGGCCUCCUUUCUCUCAUCCAACAAAGUAAAUAUCAAUAGUGGUAGUAUAGACAUCGAUAAUGUAAGGAAAAUUAAAA
rnacentral:lncRNA from 1 species